rnacentral:rRNA from 1 species
UACGGAGGGUGCAAGCGUUAUCCGGAUUCACUGGGUUUAAAGGGUGCGUAGGUGGGCAGGUAAGUCCGUGGUGAAAUCUCUGAGCUUAACUCAGAAACUGCCGUGGAUACUAUUUGUCUUGAAUGUUGUGGAGGUGAGCGGAAUAUGUCAUGUAGCGGUGAAAUGCUUAGAUAUGACAUAGAACACCAAUUGCGAAGGCAGCUGGCUACAGGGAUAUUGACACUGAGGCACGAAAGCGUGGGGAUCAAACAGG